GAUGAACGCUGGCGGCGUGCCUAAUACAUGCAAGUCGAGCGAACGGACGAGAAGCUUGCUUCUCUGAUGUUAGCGGCGGGCGGGUGAGUAACACGUGGAUAACCUACCUAUAAGACUGGGAUAACUUCGGGAAACCGGAGCUAAUACCGGAUAAUAUUUUGAACCGCAUGGUUCAAAAGUGAAAGACGGUCUUGCUGUCACUUAUAGAUGGAUCCGCGCUGCAUUAGCUAGUUGGUAAGGUAACGGCUUACCAAGGCAACGAUGCAUAACCGACCUGAGAGGGUGAUCGGCCACACUGGAACUGAGACACGGUCCAGACUCCUACGGGAGGCAGCAGUAGGGAAUCUUCCGCAAUGGGCGAAAGCCUGACGGAGCAACGCCGCGUGAGUGAUGAAGGUCUUCGGAUCGUAAAACUCUGUUAUUAGGGAAGAACAUAUGUGUAAGUAACUGUGCACAUCUUGACGGUACCUAAUCAGAAAGCCACGGCUAACUACGUG
rnacentral:rRNA from 1 species